GGGUAACUAGCUCAAUGGUAGAGUACUCGGCUUUUAACCGAUUGGUUCCGGGUUCGAGUCCCGGGUUACUCA
rnacentral:tRNA from 1 species